GGUUGAUCCUGCCGGACCUGACUGCUAUCGGAUUGGUACUAAGCCAUGCGAGUCAUUGUAGCAAUACAAGGCGGACGGCUCAGUAACACGUAGUCAACCUAACCUAUGGACGUGGAUAACCUCGGGAAACUGAGAAUAAACCACGAUAGAUCAUGAUGCCUGGAAUGGCUUAUGGUUCAAACAAUUUAUUGCCAUAGGAUGGGACUGCGGCCUAUCAGCUUGUUGGUGAGGUAAUGGCCCACCAAGGCUAUAACAGGUACGGGCUCUGAGAGGAGAAGCCCGGAGAUGGGUACUGAGACACGGACCCAGGCCCUAUGGGGCGCAGCAGGCGAGAAACCUUAGCAAUGUGCGAAAGCACGACUAGGUUAAUCCGAGUGGUUCCUGCUAAAGGAACCUUUUGUCAGUCGUAAAACCACAGACGAAUAAGGGGUGGGCAAGUCUGGUGUCAGCCGCCGCGGUAAUACCAGCACCUCGAGUGGUCAGGAGGUUUAUUGGGCCUAAAGCAUCCGUAGCCGGUUCUGUAAGUUUCCGGUUAAAUCCAACUGCUCAACAGAUGGGCUGCCGGAGAUACUACAUAGCUAGGGAGCGGGAGAGGCAGACGGUAUUCGGUGGGUAGGGGUAAAAUCCACUGAUCCAUCGAGGACCACCAGUGGCGAAGGCGGUCUGCCAGAACGCGUUCGACGGUGAGGGAUGAAAGCUGGGGGAGCAAACCGGAUUAGAUACCCGGGUAGUCCCAGCUGUAAACGAUGCAAACUCGGUGAUGCGUUGGCUUAUGGCCAACGCAGUGCCGCAGGGAAGCCGUUAAGUUUGCCGCCUGGGAAGUACGGUCGCAAGGCUGAAACUUAAAGGAAUUGGCGGGGGAGCACCACAAGGGGUGAAGCCUGCGGUUCAAUUGGAGUCAACGCCG
rnacentral:rRNA from 1 species